CCCGGAGUGGUGUGUCCUCUGCAGCAGAAGGUUCGAUCCAGGAGGAUGACUCCAAGUGAGGAAUUGCUGAGGAGCCCUAGCUGGAGGAGAAACUGGCAGAGGUGGACCUGAGCAGCUUGGACAUUGUUCUAAGCAGACGUGAACAGUCCUCUGCUUUCUGCCUCCCGGUCAACUGGCUGUGAGUAAGCGUACCAAGGGAAAAGAAGUCGCAUGCCGGAGUCUACUGCCCUCGUGAUAGAAAGCGAGUGACAGUGACAAGACCGCGAGUAUUGUUGAUGCCAUGCAAAAGCCAUCCAACUGGGAGCAGAACCGCUGCCACUCUGUGAGAUAAGUGUCUGUUUUGGUGAUUGCUCUGCUCAUGGCCCACCUGGCUCCAGGUAUGGACGCUCCUUUAGCUAAGGCUGGGUUUGUAAGAAAAUGUUCCUGAUUAGCUGUGGUUAUGAGGGAGACAGGGUCCCCAUUUUCAGGAGCUGCUCAUUUCUCGUGCAAGGAUCAGUGUGUCCUCCACAGGAGAAGGUUGCAUCUAGGAGGAUGACUUCAGGUGUUGAGUUGCUUGCCUUCUUCCCAUGUGUUUCUCUUUCUUUCUCUCUAGUCUAGUGUGUUGGCCAACUCUCUCUCCUCUCGUCUCCUCGUGCCGUCUCCCUUCUUAGGACGCAGGCAGGGGUACUAGGUUAGCAUCCCAACAGGUUAGGUCUCGGGAGCCCUGGAGAAGUCGGAGCAGAUGAAAAUCAUGUGUGGCA